rnacentral:rRNA from 1 species
GACGAACGCUGGCGGCGUGCUUAACACAUGCAAGUCGAACGGAAAGGCCCUGCUUUUGUGGGGUGCUCGAGUGGCGAACGGGUGAGUAACACGUGAGUAACCUGCCCUUGACUUUGGGAUAACUUCAGGAAACUGGGGCUAAUACCGGAUAGGAGCUCCUGCUGCAUGGUGGGGGUUGGAAAGUUUCGGCGGUUGGGGAUGGACUCGCGGCUUAUCAGCUUGUUGGUGGGGUAGUGGCUUACCCAGGCUUUGACGGGUAGCCGGCCUGAGAGGGUGACCGGCCACAUUGGGACUGAGAUACGGCCCAGACUCCUACGGGAGGCAGCAGUGGGGAAUAUUGCACAAUGGGCGGAAGCCUGAUGCAGCAACGCCGCGUGCGGGAUGACGGCCUUCGGGCUGUAAACCGCUUUCGCCUGUGACGAAGCGGGAGUGACGGUAAUGGGUAAAGAAGCACCGGCUAACUACGUG